GACGAACGCUGGCGGCGUGCCUAAUACAUGCAAGUAGAACGCUGAAGAAAGGAGCUUGCUUCUUUUGGAUGAGUUGCGAACGGGUGAGUAACGCGUAGGUAACCUGCCUUGUAGCGGGGGAUAACUAUUGGAAACGAUAGCUAAUACCGCAUAACAGCUUUUGACACAUGUUAGAAGCUUGAAAGAUGCAAUUGCAUCACUACGAGAUGGACCUGCGUUGUAUUAGCUAGUAGGUAGGGUAACGGCCUACCUAGGCGACGAUACAUAGCCGACCUGAGAGGGUGAUCGGCCACACUGGGACUGAGACACGGCCCAGACUCCUACGGGAGGCAGCAGUGGGGAAUAUUGCACAAUGGGGGAAACCCUGAUGCAGCAACGCCGCGUGAGUGAUGACGGUCUUCGGAUUGUAAACUNUUUACCAGGACGAAGGACGUGACGGUACCUGGAGAAAAAAGCAACGGCUAACUACGUG
rnacentral:rRNA from 1 species